AUGCCUCGCUGCCGGGACGGCGUGCUGCAGCGGCCAGUGUGUGGACAACACUGCGGCGGCUGCAACAAAGCGUGCAAGCACGGCCGGACAUGCUGCGGUGGACGCUGUGUGGAUCUUCUCUCCGACAAGAACUGUGGCACCUGCUCUAACCAGUGCAACAAGAAGUGCAGCUACGGCUUCUGCGACUACGCGUAG
rnacentral:rRNA from 1 species